rnacentral:tRNA from 1 species
GCUUGUGUAUCCAAGCUUAAGUGCUGGGUUCUUACCUCAGUAAUGUGUGUUACACCCACAGGCU